GUGUAACCCAGGUUAAUAUAGCCUCAUUAAAAAUAAGCCUUUCCAUAGAAACUAGCUAUAAAAUGCAUAAAUAGGAAAUAAAUAAAAAGAGAAUAAAUAGGUCCUAAAAUAGUUAAAAAUAUAAAAAGUAAUAAUUACAAACAUUAAGAAUGCUGUAUUUCAUGUUAUGAUAUUUUAUUUGGUUAAAAAUUUGUAUAAAACAGAGUAUUAUUUUGUCAGCAGCUAAAACCGUCAAGUUGAGUAAAAUCUCUUAUUCUGAAGGGUCACAUUGAUGUGUAGCCCAUGUGACUUGCUCCAGCCAACCGGGUUGCUACAUUCUCUGGCGCUCGAAGAAGAAGCAGAAAGAGCGAAGAAGAAGGAGAGAGAACGAAGAAGCAAAGAGUUGUGCUGUGAAAGAGAGAGAGAUAAGAGAAAAUAGACGAUUAAAAAGUCUACCUGCUGACUGGAAACCUUUUUUAUUCUUCGGAGGAGGAGCUUUCCGCAUUUUUUUACUGACUGCGUUCGGAGUGUUAUAUGUUACAGAACUGGACUUGGCCUUUUAAGGUUCUGCUGGAAAUUGGACCGGGAAAUUCGGAGUCGAUUGCUGAGUUGGAUUCCGCUAGUGAGAAACAAGAUGGCGAGCCGUAACCCAGGAGCUACGCCCUCUGCUGGACAUUGCAAUUCAUCCAAACUGGUAUGACCUGCCCAUGUUUUCCUGCUGAAAUAGCACGGGAUUCAGAGAAACGGGAUUAACCCUUCAGGAUCAUCAGAAAGAAAAGACACUGAUUUGAAGCACAAGUUAUUCGGUCUUUUGCAGGAUUGUUUUUGUUGUGUUUUAUUGUUUUUUCUUUUCUCGAACCACAUUCAAUAUCCAUUGUUAGUGUUUAAUGUGAAAUUGUCUGUUGGUUAUAAUAGAAACAAGAAAUGGUUAA